AGCCCCACCACCAUCGUUCUGUCACCUGAAUGAUGUCAUCAUUCUAGGGACCAGAGAAGAUCAGUUGGGAGGGUUGGCUCUUCGGUUGAGGGUCUCUCUGCUAUAUAAUCCAGGAUGGCCUCAUACGCGUGAUCCUCCUGCUUCAGCCUCCCAAUAGCUGUGAUUACAGUUGAAGAAACAGAAGCUCAGAGAUGUGAAGCCACUUGUGUGAGGACACCUAGCUGUGAAGGGGAGGAUCUGGAAUUUGAACUCGUGCUUUUACAUGUCAUAGAUGCUACUUCUCACAGGGGACCGAAGGCAGCCAACUGGCCGAGGGCCUGGCCAUUGAUUUCUGUUCCCUUGGUCUCAGUCUCCCCAUCUGUUCAAGGGAAGAGUUACCGCUGCUCCUUAAAUUCCCUAAACCUGACUCACUGGGCUCUUAAGAUUGUCAGAUGAAAGAAAUACCACUACGGGACACCCGAAAAGUAAAUUUCAAUUUCCCAUAAACAGUGAAUGAUUCUUCAGUGUCCGUAUGCCC
rnacentral:lncRNA from 1 species